rnacentral:rRNA from 1 species
UACGGAGGGUGCAAGCGUUAUCCGGAUUUACUGGGUUUAAAGGGUGCGUAGGCGGGUUUGUAAGUCAGUGGUGAAAUACUUUCGCUUAACGAAGGAACUGCCAUUGAUACUACCAGUCUUGAAUACAGUGGAGGUAGGCGGAAUGCGUCAUGUAGCGGUGAAAUGCUUAGAUAUGACGCAGAACACCAAUUGCGAAGGCAGCUUGCUAAACUGUUAUUGACACUGAGGCACGAAAGCGUGGGGAUCAAACAGG